rnacentral:rRNA from 1 species
UUACGGCUCAGUAACACGUCGAUAAUCUGCCCUAAGAUUUAGGAUACCCACGGAAACUGUGGUUAAUACUUGAUAUUGAGGGAAUUCUGGAAUGAGUCCUUUGAGAAACGUAAGGUCUUAGGAUGAGUCGGCGGCGGAUUAGGCAGUUGGCGGUGUAACGGACCACCAAACCUAAGAUCCGUAGGGGCCCUGAGAGGGGUAGCCCCGAGAGGGACACUGAAAUACUGGUCCCAGCUCCACGGAGUGCAGCAGGCGCGUAACCUUCACAAUGCGCGAAAGCGUGAUGAGGGGAUCCCGAGUGCUUACAUUAUAUGUAAGCUUUUGCCAAGGGUAAACACCUUGGAGAAUAAGUGGUGGGAAAGACCGGUGCCAGCAGCCGCGGUAACCCCGGCGCCGCAAGUGGCAAUCGUGUAUUUGGCCUAAAGCAUUCGUAGCCGGCUCAGUAAAUCCUUUGUGAAAUCGUUGAACUCAAUACAACGGCGUGCAGGGGACACUACUAAGCUUGAGACUGGGAGGAGUUUGGAGUAUUAUUAGGGGAGCGGUUGAAUGUGAUAAUCCUAGUAAGACUACCUGUGGCGAAGGCGCCAAACUAGAACAGUUCUGACGGUGAGGGAUGAAAGCUAGGGGAGCGAUCCGGAUUAGAUACCCGAGUAGUCCUAGCCGUAAACACUGCGAACUAGGUGUCGCGUAUUCUACGAGAAUAC